rnacentral:lncRNA from 1 species
UUUGCCUUGUCAGCCUGUAACUCUCGCAAGCGCUUUCGUUUUGCUGAUGCCAUAAGAAAACACACACCAAUAGCCUUUGGUAGCAGGAGCAGAACAAACCUGAAAGAUGUUGUUGAUGGUUUAGAAACUAAGAUUGCAGAUAUGAGGGAAUUUGUCAUUCUCCUUGGUAGCCACCCUCGUCUACCACGUCAGCCUUACAGUACAUAUCUAUACAUAGAGAAUUGUAUGUUUGGCAGCCGUAUUGAGAAGGAGCAAGUCAUCAAUUUCUUGCUUUGCAAUGAUCCUCAUGAUCCGUAUGUUAGCAUUCUUCCUAUUAUUGGCCCACCAAGGAUUGGAAAGAAAACUCUUGUGCAACAUGCUUGCCUGGAUGAGAGGGUGCGCAACUGCUUCUCCCAUAUAUUUUUCUUUAAAGAAGACGAUCUGAAGACCGGAGAGCUCUCGCUUAACUCCAAGGCUUCUCAAGGGAAAUAUUUGUUUGUUAUUGAGUUCAUUUGGGAUGUGGAUGAGGCAGCUUGGACAAAAUUCCAAUCAUAUUUGCAGAAUAUGCCCGGUAUUGGAAUUAAGGUUGUAGUGAUAGGUACAACAGAGGACAUUGCUAAGUUUGGGACAACCCAACCCAUCAGGGUGAAGAGGCCAUCCGAAGAAGAGUUUUGGUACUACUUCAAGGCACUUGCUUUUGGAAGUAUGGAUCCUGAUGAACAUCCGAAACUAGCAUCUCUGGUCAUGCAGCUAGCUACUGAGGUGAAUGGAUCAUUUCUUUCUGCAACUAUAUAUGGUGAACUAUUAAGAGCUAAUCCUAACACUCAAUUCUGGAAGAGAAUCUUAUUAUUCGUAAGAGAGCUUGCACGGAAGCACUUGACUUCCUCUGGUCUACACCCUGACGAUCUUUUCGAAAGAAAUAUCCCUGUCGAUAUGAGCAGGAUAGCCGUUGUGGAUGGUCAAGUUCAAGGUUGCCUGCUUUAUGAUGUUAGGGUCGCUGGCCCUGCAGAUGGUGAGCUACCAAAACUGACAUCACGAGACAUGCUACUGGGUUGUGAUAUUCCUGUCGAAGAUAAGUUUGAUGUGCUGGUCUGGAGAUCUCGCAUUCCACCCUACUGUAACUACAUAGUUACGUAUGAGAAACGAAAACCGCGACGCAUGGUUCGUAAGAGGAACACGAUCUACCUCUGAGAAUACACAGACACAAAUCUUAAUCUGGGGGAAAAUUUUCUAGAAAGAAUACAUUGUCUACGCUUUGACAAUAUAGUUUAGAAGGCUGGGUAUGCCUUCACAGAUUCUAGCUACUACUGAUUAUUCAGACAGUUUAGGUGAAAGGAGCAUAUGUCAUACUAUUGUAGUUUCAUGGAUGUCUUCAUUCUUGGAGAACUGCUAUUGUAUCUGUUCUUACUAGUUUGGGUAUGUAUAAUUCAGUUAGUUACUAUUGCUACCCUGCUAGCGUCAUGUGUGUGACAGAAUAGUUCACAAAAGAAGCUACUUUCUGUUUCUGAAUUCUGACUUUGAUGUCCUGUGUAUGACCAAUUUAAUGUACAACAAUAUAUGUAGUUUCAGUGCCUUCCAUCGGUUGGUUCCAUCAUAGUCACUGCUCUUUCCUUUCUAUAUUCCAACUACUUUAAUGAUAUGUUUGUUUACAGGAAUUCGGUUAGAUUAAUUUCUUCCUGAUUUGGUCUCGCAAAUUCGAAGAGGACAUGCUCAUCUCUGUAGUUGCAAAAUUGAUCAUGUCAGCCAUUUCAUCUCCUUGCAGAAUUCAGACAAUAAGGAGGACCUUGAGAAGAUGAUGAGUGUCCUAAAGAUCCACCACCAUCACAAACUGAGGAAUGUUUUUCCAGUUCAAGGGGCCUAUGGUAGGUAUGUACCCUGGGUAUUAUUCUUACACAUCAAAGUUGCAGCCUGUUGAAGAGGCUGUAGUUGAAAAUCAUUGUCACAAGUGACUUUGUUCUCAGUGAGAUCAAUUCUUCUUUAGAGAAAAGGGCAGGAGCUCUGCCGUGAUGCAUUAUAGAAGAAAGAUAGCAAAGACUAAAUGUGGUUACAAGGCACACUACAUGCUGAGGUUUGAUAAACUCAAUGGACAAAGGCCAAAACCAAACCCACAGCAGCCCCUAAGGCCAGCAACUAAGAAACUAAGAAACUGGGUAUCUCUCUUUUUUGCUUGAUCUCCUAGAUCUUGAAGUGGACAUCUCGCAAAAUCCGGUGUUCAUUUUGGAGGGCUCAUUUAUUUCCUCUCCUUUCAAAUAUUCCAACAUGUGUACACCACCAGGGCUGUUGAACUUCCUCUCCCAUCUCUUUUUUGCUUUCAUGCCACCAGCUCGCAAAACUGUCAAAAAGUUUUGGCUGGGCUCUCUCCAUGAUUUUGCAAUUUACCACCUUAGAACAAUGUCCAAACUUCCUUGGCAUAAGGACAAAGAAUAAGAAAAUGCACGUUAGCCUUCCAUGUUGGUUGCAAAGCUUAGAGAUCACAUGGUUUGACCAUCCUUGUUUAGCCAAGAUUAUCGGCUUUUAAGAUUUUGUUUUGAUUUGAAUUCCAAGCAAAUAAUUUACAUUUGUUUUCAGACGUCUUCCAAAUAGAUGUUGUGUUGAGAUUUCUGAGGUAACCUUUGAAUUCCACAAGGAAGACUGACUUUUGUGCAAUAUUGCCACACCGUACUCCUUGUUGACAGGCUGAAGGCAAAUGGUUUUGUAUUUUAUUCCAAAGCCACACUACAUACUCCUUGUUCACACAAAUUCUGGGUCGUGCGGAUUUUCCUCACAUAAUAUAUCCAAUUAUUGUUUGCAAGUUCUUUCCGCAUGGGCCUAUUACUCUAUUUUAUCUGGUAACCGGUAAGAACAAUAACUUUGUUCUGGGUGGAUAAAUGGAUGAUGGGGUUCAUGAUAAAAGCAUUGACCUGUCGUCUCCUUUUGCAGAAUUGGUUUAUUUUGCAGAAAAGGGGACAAACAAAGAAAUACUUUCAUGGGGCCCUGGCUACUAGAACAAAUUGUAAAUGAAAGCUUUGAUGCUAAACGAGGAUGAUGGAGGGAGAAGCUACUUUGGUAGGAGAUAGACUGAACAUGUAGAACCCUUCUCUGGUGAUAAUAAUAGACUUUAAUUUCUUGUUGACUUGUCUUGGUCUCUUGGCCUACUUCUUUGUAACCUUCUAGAUUCUAGAAGCCUGGGUCACUUUGCAAACUCCCAUUUUGACCAUUUGCUUCCAAGCAGAGCUCUGGUGAGCAUGGAGAUUCUGAUUUCUGCUGUGGCAACUGAUCUUAUCAGCCGGUUCAUCUCUUCGGUAACACAAAAUUACAGAAACCAUAUACAUAAGGAGGAUGAUCGUAGGAGGCUGGAACGCAUCUUGCUGAGGAUGCACUCUGUUGUUGAGGAAGCAGGGGGACGCCAUAUCACAAAUCAAGGAAUGAUCCUGCAGCUAAAGGGACUUGUUGAGGGAUUCUACCUCGGAUACUACAUGCUCGACAAAAUCAAGUUCCAACCCCCCGAAUAUGAGGUGAGUCAUGAGAUUCAGUCAUUUGCCUUGUCUGCCUGUAACUCUGCCAAGCGCUUUCGUUUUGCUGAUGCCAUAAGCAAACGCACACCAGUAGCCUUUGGUAGCAGGAGCAGAACAAACCUGAAAGAUGUUGUUGAUGGUUUAGAAACUAAGAUUGCAGAUAUGAGGGAAUUUGUCAUUCUCCUUGGUAGCCACCCUCGUCUACCACGCCAGCCUUACA